rnacentral:rRNA from 1 species
UGGGGAAUCUUGCACAAUGGGGGCAACCCUGAUGCAGCGACGCCGCGUGAGCGAUGAAGCCCUUCGGGUCGUAAAGCUCUUUCGACCGGAACGAUAAUGACGGUACCGGGAGAAGAAGCUGCGGCUAACUACGUGCCAGCAGCCGCGGUAAUACGUAGGCAGCAAGCGCUGUGCGGAGUUACUGGGCGUAAAGAGUGCGUAGGCGGUUUUCUAAGUUCGGUGUGAAAUCUCCCGGCUUAACUGGGAGGGUGCGCCGAAGACUGGGAAGCUGGAGUGUGGGAAAGGCAGGAGGAAUUCCUGGUGUAGCGGUGAAAUGCGUAGAUAUCAGGAGGAACACCGGCGGUGUAGACGGCUUGCUAGACCAUAACUGACGCUGAGGCACGAAAGCGUGGGUAGCAAACA